GUGCAGGUUCUGCUCGGCGAAUUGUAGUCUAUGGAUGCGUUAUCAGUGUGGCCGGUCGGGGUAAGUUCCUUGGAAGAGGACAGCAUCGAGGGUGAUACUCCCGUUUGUACCUGACUGUGUUGCGCGUACGAUGCGUGUUCUUUGAGUCGCGUUGUUUGGGAAUGCAGCGCAAAGUAGGUGGUAAAUUCCAUCUAAAGCUAAAUAUUGGUGCGAGACCGAUAGCGAACAAGUACCGUGAGGGAAAGAUGAAAAGAACUUUGAAAAGAGAGUUAAAGAGUACCUGAAACUGCUGAAAGGGAACCGGGUCGUUGCCAGUGUCUAUAAUCCUUGGCAUAUUUCAUUGGUGCGAGUGUCUGUUCCGCGUGCGUGUAUCAGUUUGUUCUGUGCUGCGCGUGGUUGUGGGUGCUUGUGGCGGUGCCCUGUGCUUUGGUGGGACGUCAGAGUCAGUUCGUAUGCUGCGGGAAAUGGUCGUGCAGGAGGUAGGUCGGGGGCUUGCUCUCGGCUGUUAUAUCUGUGCGUGCCAGUAGUCGUGGCUGGGACUGAGGUGCCUACAACGUGCUUUUGAGUCUUUGGGUCGCUCUGUGCGCGCGCGUGCGGGAUAGCUUGCUAUGCCGUGUGCGUUUUGUGUGUGGAUGGCGUGCUCUCUGCAACUUGUUGCCGUUCGGGACUUUGACGAAAUGGCGCGAUCCGACCCGUCUUGAAACACGGACCAAGGAGUCUAACAUGUGUGCAAGUGUUGGGGUGUGGAAACCCAAGCGCGAAAUGAAAGUAAAGGGCAGCGUUGGUUGUCUGAGGUAGGAAACCUUUGUCUUCGGGCGUGGGUGGCACUAUCGACCGAUCAUGAACCUUCGUGGUGAAAGAUUUGAGUAUGAGCACAUAUGUUGGUACCCGAAAGAUGGUGAACUAUGCCUGAGUAGGGUGAAGCCAGGGGAAACUCUGGUGGAAGCUCGUAGCGAUUCUGACGUGCAAAUCGAUCGUCAAACUUGGGUAUAGGGGCGAAAGACUAAUCGAACCAUCUAGUAGCUGGUUCCCUCCGAAAUUUCCCUCAGGAUAGCAGCAACUUAUUUACGAUAGUUUUAUGAGGUAAAGCGAAUGAUUAGAGGA
rnacentral:rRNA from 1 species